rnacentral:rRNA from 1 species
UACGGAAGGCAGCAGUGGGGAAUAUUGCACAAUGGGCGGAAGCCUGAUGCAGCGACGCCGCGUGAGGGAUGACGGCCUUCGGGUUGUAAACCUCUUUCAGUAGGGAAGAAGCGAAAGUGACGGUACCUGCAGAAGAAGCGCCGGCUAACUACGUGCCAGCAGCCGCGGUAAUAUGUAGGGCGCAAGCGUUAUCCGGAUUUAUUGGGCGUAAAGAGCUCGUAGGCGGUUUUGUCGCGUCUGCCGUGAAAGUCCGAGGCUCAACCUCGGAUCUGCGGUGGUACGGGCAGACUAGAGUGAUGUAGGGGAGACUGGAAUUCCUGGUGUAGCGGUGAAAUGCGCAGAUAUCAGGAGGAACACCGGAUGGCGAAGGCAGGUCUCUGGGCAUUUUACUGACGCUGAGGAGCGAAAGCAUGGGGAGCGAACAGGGAUUAGAUACC